rnacentral:rRNA from 1 species
UUGCCUAAUACAGCAAGUCGAGCGAAUCGAUGGGAGCUUGCUCCCUGAGAUUAGCGGCGGACGGGUGAGUAACACGUGGGCAACCUGCCUAUAAGACUGGGAUAACUUCGGGAAACCGGAGCUAAUACCGGAUACGUUCUUUUCUCGCAUGAGAGAAGAUGGAAAGACGGUUUACGCUGUCACUUAUAGAUGGGCCCGCGGCGCAUUAGCUAGUUGGUGAGGUAAUGGCUCACCAAGGCGACGAUGCGUAGCCGACCUGAGAGGGUGAUCGGCCACACUGGGACUGAGACACGGCCCAGACUCCUACGGGAGGCAGCAGUAGGGAAUCUUCCGCAAUGGACGAAAGUCUGACGGAGCAACGCCGCGUGAACGAAGAAGGCCUUCGGGUCGUAAAGUUCUGUUGUUAGGGAAGAACAAGU